GACGGAGGGUGCAAGCGUUGCUCGGAAUCACUGGGCGUAAAGGGUGCGUAGGCGGUCUCGCAAGUCUGGCGUGAAAGCCCAAGGCUCAGCCUUGGAAGUGCGCUCGAAACGGCGAGGCUGGAGUGCCGGAGGGGAGAGUGGAAUUCCCGGUGUAGCGGUGAAAUGCGUAGAGAUCGGGAGGAAUACCGGUGGCGAAAGCGCAACAUCUGGCCCGAUACUGACGCUGAGGCGCGAAAGCUAGGGGAGCAAACGGGG
rnacentral:rRNA from 1 species